GGCCGUUUGGUGUAGUUGGUUAUCACGCAUCCUUCACAUAUAUCACUCGACAUGAGUGAAUCAUGAGUACGGAUGAGGUCGCCGGUUCGAGCCCGGCAGUGGUCA